GGUUGAUCCCCGCAAGGUCAUGUUCGGGGGCGGACACAAUUUUCUGUGGGACGCCGACGAUCCGUCUCUGAGGUGGGAGAUCGGCAAUGAGGAAGUAGACGGAGCUGUCACUCUUCAUCUGAUCAAGACGACGGGCCAACUCAGCCGCAAGCUGGCGACUUUUGAAAUUGUUCCAGCGAAGGGCGUGACGAAGUGUGUCGUCCGUGCUGAAUCCGGCCAUCCUCUUCGGGAGACGGAAACCAAGUACGUUCAACGUGGCGAAGCUUGGAUCCCCACCG
rnacentral:misc_RNA from 1 species